ensembl:lncRNA ZFAS1 ZNFX1 antisense RNA 1
CUUUCGCGUCUGCGGUGCCCGGAGUGUGGUACUUCUCCUAGUUGCAGUCAGGCUUCAUACGCUAUUGUCCUGCCCGUAAGUUCCCGUUUUGUGUGUGGUUAGAGCAGCCAGCGGGUACAGAAUGGAUUUUGGAAGAGGGAGUCACCACUGGACCUCCAAGGAAGCCACGUGCAGACAUCUACAACCUUCGAUCUCCUGACGAGUAAGUCUUUGUCUCCUAUGGGUCUACUGUAGAAAACACGUGCUUUGAGAAGCUUUAGUUUUCUAGGAAAACGUGGGAUUUAACAAAGCACUUUCUAUCGAGCAUUUAUUAGGUAUUUAAAAAAGUGUUCUGACGGCCGGGCGCUGUGGCUGACGCCUGUAACCCCAGCACUUGGGGAGGCCAAGGCAGAUGGGUCACCUGAGGUCAAGAUUUGGAGACCAGCCUGGCCAACAUGGUGAAACCCUGACUCUAUUAAAAAUACAGAAAUUAGCUGGGCGUGGUGGUACGCGCCUGUAAUCCCAGCAACUCACAAGGCUGAGGCAGGAGAAUUGCCCGAACCCGGGCGGCGGAGGUUGUAGUGAGUUGAGAUUGCGCCACUGCCCUACAGUCGGGGCAACAGAGCCAGACUCCGUCUCAAAAAAAAAAAAAAAAGAAAAA